GGGGAAUAUUGCGCAAUGGGGGAAACCCUGACGCAGCAACGCCGCGUGCGGGAUGAAGGCCUUCGGGUUGUAAACCGCUUUCAGCAGGGACGAAGGGUUUCUGACGGUACCUGCAGAAAAAGCGCCGGCUAACUACGUGCCAGCAGCCGCGGUAAUACGUAGGGCGCAAGCGUUAUCCGGAAUUAUUGGGCGUAAAGAGCUCGUAGGCGGUCUGUCGCGUCUGCUGUGAAAACCCGAGGCUCAACCUCGGGCCUGCAGUGGGUACGGGCAGACUAGAGUGCGGUAGGGGAGAUUGGAAUUCCUGGUGUAGCGGUGGAAUGCGCAGAUAUCAGGAGGAACACCGAUGGCGAAGGCAGAUCUCUGGGCCGUAACUGACGCUGAGGAGCGAAAGGGUGGGGAGCAAACA
rnacentral:rRNA from 1 species